CUAUUUUCGUGCUAAAUUUUGAAAAACAAAAAAAAAGAAUGCAACACAUAAUAUAGGUAUGACUGAAAAAAUAAGCUAUAACUGCAGAGGUAGAGUUAGGAUUUGGAGUCUGUGAGUUCUAAAUAAAAUAAAGCAUAGAACUGCGAAGUUAGGAUUUGGAGUCUGUGAGUUCUAAAUAAAAUAAAGCAUAGAACUGCGAAGUUAGGAUUUGGAGUCUGUAGAUUCUGAAUAAAAUGAAGUAUAGAAAAUCAAAAAACAGUAUAUGCUACUAGUGGAAACUGCGGUGCUAGGAUUUGGAGUCUGUGGGUUCUGACAGUAUAUGCUAUUAGUGGGAACUGGAGUCUGUGGGUUCUGACAGUAUAUGCUAUUAGUGGGAACUGGAAAGUUAGGAUUUGAAGUCUCUGGGUUCUAAAUAAAAUGAAGUAUAGAAAAUCAAAAAACAGUAUAUGCUGCUAGUGGGAUUUGAACCCACGUCUGCAACAAAAGAAAAGCUUUAAUAGUGGUCCAUUUACCAUUGGGCUAAGUAACAAUAUUUGUCAAUGAAUUUGCACUAUAUAAUUAUAUACAUAUAUUCUGAAUUUAAUAUUAUAAAUAUAGGAUCAACAUAAAAACUACUGGAUUCGCCCGAACCCACGUAGGACACUGUGCUCUACCCUGGCUAUAAGACGAACUUUUUUUAUCAGUAGACGUCCGGAUAUAAAUUCCAAACUUUUUAUUUAAUUAUUUAUACUAUAUAAUAAGCCAAUUUUUUUAUACUACUAAGGGCAUUUCGAUAACUACAAUAUGGAUAAAAAUCAAUCCACCUGUUGAAAUAGAAACACAACACGUCACACAUUGUUACUGUGCAUGUGUCAUUUUGAGGAUUUUGGUUUCUUCUUUCCAAUAUCACCUUAAUUAGAUGAUUUUCAUCCCUCUUCGGUCAUGCUUCUUCCUCGGUGCAACGAUUUUGCUCUUCGUUCUUUUUCUAAUCUCUCACAUGGCUUAUAUUUUGAGCUUAGAGGAAACCAAGUGGGGAAACUUGAAGUUGCAAAUAUAAAGUAAAG